rnacentral:rRNA from 1 species
GUGCCAGCAGCCGCGGUAACACCAGCCCCUCGAGUGGUGGGGACUUUUAUUUGGCCUAAAGCGUCCGUAGCUGGCUGUAUCCGUCCCCCGUUAAAUCCAGCGUCCUAAACGUUGGACUGCGGGUGAUACCAUACAGCUAGAGGGUGGGAUAGGUGAGCGGUAUUUCUGGGGUAGGGGCGAAAUCCUUUGAUCCCAGGAGGACCACCAGUGGCGAAGGCUGCUCACUAGAACACGCCUGACGGUCAGGGACGAAAGCUGGGGCAGCGAACCGGAUUAGAUACCCGCGUAGUCC